rnacentral:rRNA from 1 species
UACGUAGGGGGCGAGCGUUACCCGGAAUCACUGGGCGUAAAGGGAGCGUAGGUGGCCUAACAUGUCAACUGUGAAAACCCGGAGCUCAACUCCGGACUUGCAGUUGAAACUGGUAGGCUUGAGGACGGUAGAGGAAGACGGAACUGCCAGUGUAGAGAUAAAGUCCUUAGAUAUUGGCGGGAACGCCGGUGACGAAGAUAGUUUUCUAAACCGGUUCUGACACUGAUGCUCGAAAGCCAGGGGAGCGAACGGG